UACCACCACCUUCUCCUUGGGCCACCGAUGGCUGGAGACAUCCAUGGUGAGGCCUCCGGGGCCAUACGGAGUAGAGGCUAUGUUUGGUUGCACAUAACACUACAAGAAUAAAGGCAUAUGGUUACAGGAAUUUUUAGUUGGGCCAGAAAAUUUGCACCUAAAAAUAAUAUUCGGUCUAAAAGGUUGUAGGCGUGGGCAUACAAUACCUUUUCGUACAAUGCCUUUUCGUAGGAGAACGCUUCUUAAGGUUCUGAAUAUUUUUCUUUUUACAUUUUUUUUUUUUUUUUUGGAGAGGUUGGAUUCAUGGAUCUUUCUAAGUGCUUCGUCUGAAACCUUAGGGGAUUUUUCUGGUUCCUGAGAAACCAUAGGAAAAGGAAGGAUUUAGAAUUUUUGGAGUUUAGGAGUUUUCGGAUUUUAAUUUUUAGGUUUUGAAUUGUUUAGGGUCUCUUUGGAGUAAAACCUUUUCAAAAUCCAUGGACGCUUUGGAUAUUUCAUUUGGUUGUGAAAGAUUUUAAUUUCUGGUUGUGGUUUACUUAUUUUCCUUUUCUUCGGCCAUUGCUGGAAGGCAUUCUUAUUGCAUGGAGAUUGAUUGGGUCACCAUGCCGUCCUCUGAGGCUGUGGUUUCAAAGAAGGUUAGAUUUUCACAUUCGGUUCGAUUUCAACAAGUGGAAUUAACCGUUUUUCUGUCGCAGAGUGUGGAUAAACUGAGUUUAGUUUCUGAGGGUACCGUUUAUGCCUUUCAAUGGAGAGCUUUGCACUCCGUGCAACAGAUUUUUUGGAGUUCAUUACUUUCUUCCUGAAGAUUGAUUUUUUGGGGGUCAUCUACGAUUUAACAAGAUAGAGCUCGGAGGUGUUUGGAGUUACUAGUGAUUGUUGCUCACCCCUCAACCUUCAUUGGUAAAACAGAAUACAGAGGAAGAGGAGGCUCCCACUAAGGCUGCAGGAAAGGCUACAGGCGAGGGUUGGUACUAGAUGAUGUUCUCCAAGUGGCUGGGCAUAUCCUAAUGAUUUCAAUAUCUGCUUUUUAUUUG